rnacentral:rRNA from 1 species
UACGUAGGGUGCGAGCGUUUGUCCGGAAUUAUUGGGCGUAAAGGGCGCGUAGGCGGCGAACCAAGUCAGAUGUGAAAGUCCUGGGCUUAACCUGGGGGACUGCAUUUGAUACUGGUUUGCUUGAAUUCGGGAGAGGAUAGCGGAAUUCCCAGUGUAGAGGUGAAAUUCGUAGAUAUUGGGAAGAACACCGGUGGCGAAGGCGGCUAUCUGGACCGACAUUGACGCUGAGGCGCGAAAGCGUGGGGAGCAAACAGG